CAGCAGAGAGCACGGAGCCGCGA
rnacentral:miRNA from 1 species